AAGUUUAGGUUAAUAUUAAACCAAGAGCCUUCAAAGCCCUAAACAGGGAACCUCCCCCUAACUUCUG
rnacentral:tRNA from 1 species